rnacentral:piRNA from 1 species
GGUGGGAGGGCUGAAGAAAACGUUCACAUU